UAUCUCUGUAGAGUCUGCAUAUCAAUAAGCGGAGGAAAAGAAACUAACAAGGAUUCCCUUAGUAACGGCGAGUGAAGCGGGAAGAGCUCAAAUUUGAAAUCUUCAAGGUUCUACCUUGACGAAUUGUAGUUUAAAGAAGUGUUUUCUGUUAGAUGAGUAGCAAAAGUUCCUUGGAAUGGGACAUCAUAGAGGGUGAGAAUCCCGUAUUUGGUUAUUCAUUCUAGCUUUGUGAUACACUUUCAAAGAGUCGGAUUGUUUGGGAAUGCAGUCCAAAAUGGGUGGUAAAUUUCAUCUAAAGCUAAAUAUUGGCGAGAGACCGAUAGCGAACAAGUACCGUGAGGGAAAGAUGAAAAGAACUUUGAAAAGAGAGUUAAACAGUACGUGAAAUUGUCAAAAGGGAAGCGUUUGACACCAGUGUUGUUUUUCCGAAAAUCAAUUACGAAUGGCUUGAUUUUGUGUUGUAUUGACCUUAUCAGCUUUCUUCACUUUUUUCGAGUCUUUCUGAAUGCACUUUUUCGGUUAACAAGUCAACAUCAAUUUCUUUUGUUGUAAAAGAGUAUUCGGAAGGUGGCUUUCUUUUCGGAGAAAGUGUUUAUAGCCCUAUACUUCUACAAUCGGAGAGAUUGAGGUCUGCAGCGUAGAUCCUUCGGGGUUAGAUACACUUGUGCUAAGUUGUAGCUUUUCAUAGACAACUUGUUGACUAUGUUUAGUCAUGCGGCUUACUCGCUUGUGCUAUUUUACCUACGCUUAGGAUGUUGACUGAUAUGUAGUCGUA
rnacentral:rRNA from 1 species